GCACUCCUGUUGCAGCACAUAUAAUAAAAAUUGUAACAAUACAGAGAAGAUUAGUAUGGCCCCUGUGCAAGGAUGACGUGCAAAUUCGGGAACCGUUCCAUAUUUUU